rnacentral:rRNA from 1 species
UACAGAGGUCCCAAGCGUUGUUCGGAUUUACUGGGCGUAAAGGGAGCGUAGGUGGCGGGCAAAGUCUAAUGUGAAAGCUCUGAGCUCAACUCAGAAAUGGCAUUGGAUACUGGCUUGCUUGAGGAUUGGAGGGGAGACUGGAAUUCUCGGUGUAGCAGUGAAAUGCGUAGAUAUCGAGAGGAACACCAGUGGCGAAGGCGAGUCUCUGGACAAUUCCUGACACUGAUGCUCGAAAGCUAGGGGAGCAAACGGG